UAGGGGUCUAAUCGGAGCUGUAGCCACUGGCCUGCGCCACAGCCACAGCAACGAGGCAUCCAAGCCGUGUCUGCAACCCACACCACAGCUCGCGGCAACGCCGGAUCCUCAACCCACUGAGCAAGGCCAGGGAGUGAACCUGCAACCUCAUGGUUCCUAGUCGGAUUCGUUAACCACUGUGCCACAACGGGAACUCCUUAGUUCCUAUUCUUAAUGAAAACAUUUUCUGCCUGAAUUUUUUAGUGUGGCGUUAUUAAACAAUGAAAACAUCUUUUCCAUACUUUUCAAAGUCUACCAGUUCCCUAUAUGUUUUGUUGGUUUGUACUAUAAAUGAACUCUAAAUAUUUUAGGAAAAAGUUUUAUGAUAGAUAAGUUCUUUUUAAAAUUUAGCACCUAAUUUUUUAAAAAUCAAAAUGAAAAAUUUCUUGCAUAAAGGGGAACGUUUACCUUUUACUUUGUUUUUCUUCCAUGUGGUAAAUCUUUUCAUUUACAAAGGAAGUGUGCUUACAGAAUUACUAAGGUGGUUUUUAGAAAGCAGUAAUCAUAGAAACCCCGUCCGUGCUUGCCCUAAUCUGUCUCCCCAAAGCCCUUGGUCUGAAAGCCAGCCGUGGCUCUUGUCCUUAUUACAUGUGACUCGUGGAACAGGAUUGUGCUGUUCACUGUGUACACUGGCACGGUGCCCUAGCAGCCCCUGUCAUGCUGCCUCAACAUCACGAAGCUGUUUGUGAGUUUUACACCGUAUUGUAUACUAUAUUACAGUGUAUUUACUCUAUUGAUAACUUACAGAAUAUCUGUAGUAUUUCUGCAUAAUCUAUAAAAAUACGACAUUAGAAAAUCUAGGGACUGUAAAUAUGAAAACAUGAAAAAAAGUUCUUUGGCACAAAAUCCCCUGCAAAAUAUGAAUAAUAUUUGCAUUGAGAGCCAUGAGAUUAAAUAUGCUUCAUUUUAUUUAAAAAUACUUUGGGCGAGGCUGACUAGGUAUGGCAAUUUGGUUAAUUUUAGUGCCAAGUAUGAAUAAUACUUGCACUGAGAGCCGUGAGAUUAAAUAUGCUUCAUUUUAUUUAAAAAUACUUUGGGCGAGGCUAAAUGGGUAUGGCGAUUUGGUUAAUUUUAGUGCAAAAUAUGAAUAAUAUUUGCAUUAAGAGCCAUGAGAUUAAAUAUGCUUCAUUUUAUUUAAAAAUACUUUGGGCGAGGCUGACUAGGUAUGGCAAUUUGGUUAAUUUUAGUGCCAAGUAUGAAUAAUACUUGAACUGAGAGCCGUGAGAUUAAAUAUGCUUCAUUUUAUUAAAAAAUACUUUGGGCUAGGCUAACUAGGUAUGGCGAUUUGGUUAAUUUUAGUGCUUUUUUUAUUUUUAUUAUUUUUGGCUGUGCCUGUGGCACACGGAAUUUCCUGGGGUCUAACCCGCACCUCAGCAGCAACCCAAGCCUCUGCAGUGACAGCGCUGGAUCCCUGACCCGUUGUGCCAUGAGAGAGCUCCCAGGUGCUUAGUUUUAAUGACUUUUGUAGAUAAAAAUGUUAUUUUCACAAAAGUGUGUAGAUCUAAGUGGAAGAAAUAAAUCAUUGGCUGCAGUUCAAAGUCAUGAGCUUCAUUUUUGAAUCAUGCCCGCUAAUUAUGCAAAAGUUUUCAUUUAACUUGGGCUGUUAAAUGUGCAUUGUCCCUGAUGUCAGUCAGGUCUUGCCCCUUAAUCGGAAGGUUGCAUCUUGUAAGGAUAGCUUCGGAAUCCACUCAACCCUCUUCGUUUGGAAGUUUUUUAAAGAAACGGGGAAAAUUGUUUCCAGUUAACAUUGCACAUAUUAGAGUUUUUAAUAAGAGACUCAUCAAUUUUGGCAACAAAAUCACAGAGCAGCAGAAACAAAUCCUGGAGGUCAGGGCCUGGGAGAGUCCCUCUGCCUGCCUCCCUGAGCCUCUUGGGCCCAAAACCCAGUUCUCUGUCAGUUCCACCCAUUGUUUUCCUGGUUCUGCUCAGUCUGGACAUGAUAGUCCUUAAACAACAGGACAAGGUUAACCCCUGUCCUGAGUUUUCAUUUCUCCUCAGACCUGAACUAGUUCCUGACUUGUGAUAUGAUGUGCGUGUGUCACUGUCUUUGAUUUCCCUGUGCCAGGUCCACCGCAGGUCCCCCAGCUCUGGUGGAGAACUCACCCUGGGGCGGUGCCGGUGUCAUACUGGCCUCAGGGAGCUGCCACUCAGCCAGGACGCUUUUGCCGACCUCUCCGUGUUCAUGGAGGGAUAGAACUGUUCAGCUAAACAUCCAACAGCUUUCAAGCUUUGAAGAUGAAAAGGACAGGCUGGAAACUUUCCAUGACAAGUUGCUGAGCCGGGAAGUGAAUCUGCAAUCCUUCCGGUGUCCUAAGGACCUCACGCCAGAGAGAAGUGCGUGGUUGGAAAAUGACAGCCCUGUAUUCCCCGGAUUGAGGCGGUCACCCAGCGGCUCGGUAGUUCUCAGUUAGCAGUGAGCGGUCCCACCGUGGACACCAGCUCUACCUCCUGGAAAAGCCAAGUGGAGAAGGCAGCUGAGAGGCUGGACAGUGCCCGCAUCAGCGGCACCUGGAAGGGAGAAGGUAGCCUUGGUUGGAAAACGGGCAGCUCAUGUGUCAGCGAACGACAAAGCUGAACAAUGAAAGGUCUCAUGUAGAAGAACUUGACUGUAAUACAAACUUACUAUAUUAAUGUUUUAUCUUCUCAGUGCAAACAGAAAAGUAAUCGUCCGCCCAUUUGUCACGCUCAACAGAGCUUUAAGAGAGGUUAACGCAGACCAUUCAGCAUCAUCUAUGAAAGAAUUACAUUUCGCAAUAGUGAGUAAAAGGAAAAAACAUGAACAACAAAGGAUGGUAUUCUUCCCCACCAAUUAUUUCCAUGCUCAGUCUGCACUAAUAGUUACAAGCGGAGAAAAAAGGCAACGUUAAAAGCGCUUAAAAUUUAGGAUAUAAUAGAAUGGUUUCGUCUUGCG
rnacentral:lncRNA from 1 species